UUCAUUCUAGACUCUCAGGACACCUGAUGUUACCCUGGACUCUAUAGGUGAAGGAGGCAAAAAGAAAAGAGGGUCAUGUGGUGGAUCUGAUUUGUUCUCUUCCUGGAGUUGCAUUGCCCAACACGUUCUUCAGUUACCCGAAACUUGGACUAUAAUCUUCAUCAUUGUUUUCCAGGCAUCUCCCAAGGAUAUCUGCUGACAAAGGAACACAUUUUUGCUUAUUAUUUCGGCCAAUUUUUCCUAUGGCAGAAGAUCGUUUCCCUAAUAGUAUGCAGCUUUUUAACUUCUGUCCUCAAGCAAAACCCAUAAAGUUAGUGAAAUUAUGAAUUCACUCUCCCUUUCUAGUAGCACUCCAGUUUCCUUCUGGGUAACUACUUCUUCCCACUGUGAGACACUAAACCAAGCUGAAACUACAGGAUCAAAGACACCAUGAAUAAGAAGUCCAUCCUCUACAAGGAAAACCACAACAGACAGAAGCAGAGAAGACCAAAUGAUCCCAGGAAAACAGCAGCCUUAUUUCCUUAGUCUUUAUUUCCCUUUUGCUUACCCUCUAAGGUCAUUUCUUCUCCACAAAUACCUAUUACACCUGGGCCUCAAUGUCCAGGACAAAAAGUGUUAGAAUCAUAUAAUAAACAUACCA